CACGUAAGCGGGUUGCUAAGUCAGGGGUGAAAUCCUGGAGCUCAACUCCAGAACUGCCCUUGAUACUGGCGGCCUUGAGUCCGGGAGAGGUGAGUGGGAACUGCGAGUGUAGAGGUGAAAUUCGUAGAUAUUCGCAAGAACACCAGUGGCGAAGGCGGCUCACUGGCCCGGUACUGACGCUGAGGUGCGAAAGCGUGGGGAGCAAACGAGGAUUAGAUACCCUGGUAGUCCACGCCGUAAACGAUGGAUGCUAGCCGUUGGUGGGUUUACCCUUCAGUGGCGCAGCUAACGCAUUAAGCAUCCCGCCUGGGGAGUACGGUCGCAAGAUUAAA
rnacentral:rRNA from 1 species